UUUUGGGAAGACUGAGGCAAUCGUUGCUGAAGUCAGUGUUGUAAUGGUGAAUCGAGAUUUUUAAUGAAGUGGGUGUGAUCACUCUUGACUGUUUUGUGAAAUCGGAGUUACGUCUGUGAUUGGAGAAUUAAAAGGGUGUCUAUAGGAUUGAGUAUGCGGAGUGAAUGAAAUUUAUUGGGUUAAUCUAACAAGACAGUUAGUGGAUACAAGAUCGUAAGUACAAAGCGGUAUUGAAGA
rnacentral:lncRNA from 1 species